GUAACUUAAUAGUAAACCUAACUGUUUAACUUAAACAACGUUUGACGUAACUAAAAAAAAAUAUUAUUUGUAUUUGUAACUAAAACGAACACUUUAACUUAUCCAAUAAAUACACAGCAAUAUUAUGUCAACUGAAAUUUUGAUUAUGAUUAAUAAUUUAUUCAUCUUCAUUCACAGGAUGUUCGGAUACUGGCAAAUUAUUCCAAAAGUUCAUUCUGGUAGUGGGAAUAAUUCCACCAAGUCGUUUUAUAAGAGUGUCCUUCCUAUUUUGACUUAUGCCACGAAAGUCGUUCUUGCAUUUAGGCUUUUCCAAACCAUUCUUUUGGUGUUUUGCUACUAAAAAAUGUAAUGCUAUAGCCUCUUGUUCAUUAAAUUUGCAUUUGUACGACAAUGACGGAUUUAUUCUGCUUAAUUUAUACUGAGAACUUUUGUCUUCCCAAUUGAAAAAAUUGUUAAUUUUCAUUUCAAUUAAUUUUACUUUGGACGAGUUAGCUUUUUGAACAGCAUCUUUAUAACCUUCGAAAUCAAACACCUUUUUCCGGUGUUAAAUCAAUUUGACGUAUCUACUUCAUUGUUAAGUAAAUAUGUCGCAUGUACGCUAUGUUAGGUUUAUUUGUCGUAUUUGAACUGCAAAUACGACAUAUAUACCUAAAAUAUGCAGUUAGGACAAUUUCGCUUAACAAAGUGAGCAUAAUUUCACAUACGACAAAGAAAUAAUAUAGUUUGCUGGCCGGUAAUGAAUGUUUUACGACAUUUUGAUCUAACAAAUAGAUGUAAAACUUUGAUAUGAUGUGAAAUACCAGAAAAUCUCAAAAUUGCCGAAAGAUGCAGAUACGACUCUUAUUCUUAACACGGCAGUAUACGUUGCUCUUGACUUAAACGAUUCAUGAUGAAAUGUCAAAGUAUACUUAACACAACUGACGCUUGAUCCGCGUUUUGACACAUACCAUUUUGCGUACAUGGCCCACUAAACUUCUAUCACUUCUAUUGGUAGACCCAAUAUUUUGUAUGGAAUCGUUUUCCUUGAAGCGUCGUGACUCGAAGUCGCAACGGCUGCGUCUCGACUGCUCAAAAACAUGUCGAGACGCGAACGUAGACCCUAGCCGUCUAUACAUCAGUUUAAUAUAAGCAGAGUUUAGCUGAAGAUAAUAACACAAAAUGUCGAAAAAAUUGACAGAUGCUGAAGAUGAAAUAUUGAUUUAUCAAGUACGUGAAUAUCCUUAUAUUUAUGACCAUGAAAAUAAAGACUUUAAAGAUUACCAAAUUCAGGAAAAUGGAAAGAAAUUGCUGCAAUUUUAUCCAAGAAUCCCGAAGAAUGCAAAAUUCGCUGGACAUAUAUUCGCGAUAAUUAUUUUAAAAAUAAAAGAAAGCAAAAGUUAGGAACUGGUUCGGCGGCAUCAUCCCGACCUACCAAGUGGACACUGUUGGAACAUUUGAAAUUUUUAGAAUUGGUGAAGACUGAACGAAGGCGACUUCAAAACUUUGAUGAGAGUCAAAAUGACAAUAAUUUACAGUCACAAACUUAUGAUGAUAAUACGACCGAUUCAGAAUUACAGAUAGAUAACGAAAUUGAUGACGUCCUGCAAAAAGAUCAAAACCAAAUAUGGGCACAAGUCGAUCAAAUACUCCCAGCAGUAAAUCAAACACUCCAUCACUAUCAGGAAGAUUUGUUAAAUCCACAACAGCAAAAUCAAAACUACUGCAAAAUUUAAAAGAAAGGUCAAAAGAGCGCAUGGAAAUGUAUUCGAAACUCGUAGAUAAUCAGAAUAAAGACAAAGUUGAUUUGUUUAUGAGGAGCAUGGCUCUAAUGUUAAAGAAAUUACCUCCUAAUUUAAUUAAUGAAGCAAUAUUAAAAAUUUUGACCAUAAUAACAAAUCUCCAGGCGUCAAUGACUAAUCCAGAGCAGCCACAAAAUCCCUGUUAACCAGUGCAAAUGACUUCAAGUCCUCAACAAAUAGUAUAUUUUCAAAUGCCAGUUCAACUAGAAGAUAUUCCAAAUGAAUCAGUUAACACUCCUCAACCAUCAACAUCUUCAGUGAACCCACAGGACAACUACAGAACGAAAAACAAAUAUUUCCAACUAUGAAGAAUAUAUAUUUUUUUAGAAACAGAAUUGUAUUGUUUGAGUUUUCUUGGUGAUAAUAAAUAGUUUUUGUUCUCAUUUUAAA
rnacentral:misc_RNA from 1 species